AACACACACAUGCAUUCAAAGACACCGGCACACAGUCCCACUUAAGUAACACAACAGAGGAGUGCCGCUGCAGGAGCCGAAAGUUUCAAUAGAAUAUAAAAAGGGAUCGAACAACAGAUUGUCAAAUUAUUGACUCAGGAGUGGGAGACGAGGAAGAGAAUCAUGAACAAUGCACCUGGAGGCAAGGGAAAUGACUAUACAGAAGUUCAAAGGUUGAUCAAGUCACUAUGCUAGAUGCUGUGAAGACAAAAAUGGCUAGUUUGACAAGUCUGGCUCAGAUUAUUUAUUCUUCUGGAAGUGUCAACGAAGUCUUCUAACAUCCUCCUCCUCAAGGAAUCCUUAGAGAAUGUAAACUCUUCGAGGUCAUGGUUUGUGACUUCAUUGUUCCUUUGAUACACACCUAUAAACUAGAAAAAUCUUCAAUCU